rnacentral:tRNA from 1 species
AAAGAAUUAGUUAAAAUAUAACAUUAGAAUGUCAAACUGAAAUUAUUAAUAAAAUUUAAUAUUCUUUA